rnacentral:rRNA from 1 species
CUACGGGACGCUCCAGGCGAGAAAACUUUGCAAUGUGCGAAAGCACGACAAGGUUAAUCCGAGUGGUUUGUGCUAAACGAACCUUUUGACAGUCCUAGAAACACUGUUGAAUAAGGGGUGGGCAAGUUCUGGUGUCAGCCGCCGCGGUGAAAACCAGCACCUCAAGUGGUCAGGAUGAUUAUUGGGCCUAAAGCAUCCGUAGCCGGCUCUGUAAGUUUUCGGUUAAAUCUGUACGCUCAACGUACAGGCUGCCGGGAAUACUGCAGAGCUAGGGAGUGGGAGAGGUAGACGGUACUCGGUAGGAAGGGGUAAAAUCCUUUGAUCUAUUGAUGACCACCUGUGGCGAAGGCGGUCUACCAGAACACGUCCGACGGUGAGGGAUGAAAGCUGGGGGAGCAAACCGGAUUAGAUACCCCCGUAGUC